AUUGAACGCUGGCGGCAUGCUUUACACAUGCAAGUCGAACGGUAACAGGCCUUCGGGUGCUGACGAGUGGGGAACGGGUGAGUAAUGCAUCGGAACGUACCCAGAGGUGGGGGAUAACGCAGCGAAAGCUGUGCUAAUACAGCAUGUGAUCUGAGGAUGAGAGCGGGGGAGCGAGCAGCAAUGUUUGGCCUCGCGCCUUUGGAGCGGCCGAUGUCGGGUUAGCUAGUUGGGGGGGUAAAGGCCUACCAAGGCGGCGAUCCGCAGCUGGUCUGAGAGGACGGCCAGCCACACUGGGACUGGGACACGGCCCAGACUCCUGAGGGAGGCAGCAGUGGGGAAUUUUGGACAAUGGGCGCAAGCCUGAUCCAGCAAUGCCGCGUGCGAGAAGAAGGCCUUCGGGUUGUAAACCGCUUUUGGCAGGAACGAAACGGUGUCCGCUAAUACCGGGCGCUAAUGACGGUACCUGCAGAAUAAGCACCGGCUAACUACGUG
rnacentral:rRNA from 1 species